UGUGAAUAGCAAGCAGGCACAUGAGUAAA
rnacentral:piRNA from 1 species